GACGAACGCUGGCGGCGUGCUUAACACAUGCAAGUCGAACGGAAAGGCCCUGCUUUUGUGGUGUGCUCGAGUGGCGAACGGGUGUGUCACACGUGUGUACCCUGCCCUUGACUUUGGUAUAACUUCAGGACACUGGGGAUAACACCGGAUAGGAGCUCCUGCUGCGUGGUGGGGGUUGGAAAGUUUGGGCGGUGGGGGAUGGUCUCGCGGUUUAUCCGCUUGUUGGUGGGGUAGUGGUUUACAAGGGCUUUCACGGUUCCCGGGCCUGAGGGGGGGACGGGCCACAUGGGAACGGGGAUACGGCCAAGACUCCUAGGGGAGGAAGAAGUGGGGAAUAUGGCACAAUGGGCGGAGGCCGGAGGCAGCAACGCCGCGUGCGGAAGGAGGGCCUUCGGUUUGAAAACCGCUUUCGCCAGGGACGAAGCGUGAGUGACGGUAAUGGGUAAAGAAGCACCGGCUAACUACGUG
rnacentral:rRNA from 1 species